rnacentral:rRNA from 1 species
UACGGGAGGCAGCAGUGGGGAAUAUUGCACAAUGGGGGAAACCCUGAUGCAGCGACGCAGCGUGCGGGAUGACGGCCUUCGGGUUGUAAACCGCUUUCAGCAGGGAAGAAGCGAAAGUGACGGUACCUGCAGAAGAAGUACCGGCUAACUACGUGCCAGCAGCCGCGGUAAUACGUAGGGUACGAGCGUUGUCCGGAAUUAUUGGGCGUAAAGAGCUCGUAGGUGGUUGGUCACGUCUGCUGUGGAAACGCAACGCUUAACGUUGCGCGUGCAGUGGGUACGGGCUGACUAGAGUGCAGUAGGGGAGUCUGGAAUUCCUGGUGUAGCGGUGAAAUGCGCAGAUAUCAGGAGGAACACCGGUGGCGAAGGCGGGACUCUGGGCUGUAACUGACACUGAGGAGCGAAAGCAUGGGGAGCGAACAGGAUUAGAUACCCUGGUAGUCCAUGCCGUAAACGUUGGGCACUAGGUGUGGGGG